GCGCGGAGCUCCGAGGACACUCUCCCUACUCCCGCGCUCGGCCCAGAAAGCCUAGGCACCGCCCUGCCGUUACCGGUUGGGAAAGAUCUGCGAGGCCCGUGAGGUCCCUUAUGGGCAAUAGUGCCACGCACCGUGGUGAGAGGCGGACGGCCACCCAGAGCCAGAGGGCCACUUGGGAAUGAGUCAGCCAGACUUUAAGUCGGAAACGCCUAGGCUGGAGAUGGGGACAGUCCUGAGACCUGGGAUUUCUCGGAAAGGCCGGCCUAGCCCCGGCUCCACAGCACAGUGCACCGAGCACCUUGCGAAGUGCUGAGUAACGGUGACUGGGAAGUAACUCUGUGCACGCCCUCACCUCCUUUCCGGAUUUUACCGACGGCUCUCUUCUGCCUUCCCUCCUCCUAUCCUUUGACCUUCGUGCUGAGCUCGCUGCUCCAGUGACACAGCAGUUUAAUGCAGUGCAGUCGAGAAGGCUGGGCGACUGACUGGGCUGUAGACCCAGACAGCUGCUUGUGAGAUUUUUGCUCUCCUCAGUUCAUACCAUUGUGUGACAUAUGACUCUCCAUGGAUGCCAGGGUCAGGAGGUCAGGGGAACACAGUUCUUGAAUAAGAAUCUUUAUCAGCAGAGUGGAACUGAAGAGACAACACAAUUUCAAAAUGAACAAAACACUGCAAAAAAAAAAAUGAAUCAUAAGUAACUUUCAUCAGGUAUGAAGUCAUUGUUAUUUUGCUGAUAAGAGCUAUAUUUACUCCAGGAAAACAGAGAGCCUGAUUCAUGUUAUAAGUUUAUUGACUCAAUAAAAGUAUUUCUGAGAAUUCAUGAAUGAUGGUUUGGAAGGGCAAUCUCUACACAGA